UGAACACUAAACCAAGAAAGAAAUGCAGCAGACGAGCUUCUUUCGGAUACUUUUUGGAUUUCUAUCACCAAGAAUGACAAUCUUGUCUCUGGGAGGACUUGCAGACGAGCUAGAGUCUCCAAAGUUGUUGAGGAUAUAAUUCAGGUAACCAGCAAAUCCGUUAAACACUAAGUAAGUGUAAGGUGUCCCUUCUGCCUCAAUAGCUCUGCGGAUCUCAACCUUGGUCCUGCAUAAGCUAGCAGCAGGCUCAACAGCAUGCACACGAUCCACAUCAACCCCAAAUUCAGAAGGGAUUAAUCAAUGGAAGAUUCGACAGUUGAACAUUCUCACGAGGUUUCCCAAAAAAUCAUGGCACUAACGGAUUCUUAUUGGCCAAGAUGCGCAAUGUAAUAGGAGAUUGCGAAAGAGAAAGGUCAAAGUCAAGAGAAAGGUGAAACUUAACGGAACUAGAUGAGAGACUUUGAAGUCAAGCCAAGGGAGCAUGUUGAUUUCUUUAUUGACCCUGUUGCUGUAGUAUUUCCUCAACCAGAAGUAGAUGACAAGAAUAAGCAUAUGAGGUUGUGUAUCUAUAUAAGGUGAGAUUUUUUUUUCCCUUUAAUUCUAUUCUGUAA